AUUGAACGCUGGCGGCAUGCCUUACACAUGCAAGUCGAACGGCAGCACGGGAGCAAUCCUGGUGGCGAGUGGCGAACGGGUGAGUAAUAUAUCGGAACGUGCCCAGUAGUGGGGGAUAACUGCUCGAAAGAGCAGCUAAUACCGCAUACGACCUGAGGGUGAAAGGGGGGGAUCGCAAGACCUCUCGCUAUUGGAGCGGCCGAUAUCAGAUUAGCUAGUUGGUGGGGUAAAGGCCUACCAAGGCAACGAUCUGUAGUUGGUCUGAGAGGACGACCAGCCACACUGGGACUGAGACACGGCCCAGACUCCUAGGGGAGGCAGCAGUGGGGAAUUCUGGACAAUGGGCGCAAGCCUGAUCCAGCAAUGCCGCGUGCAGGAAGAAGGCCUUCGGGUUGUAAACUGCUUUUGUCAGGGAAGAAAUCCUCUAGGUUAAUACCCUUGGGGGGAUGACGGUACCUGAAGAAUAAGCACCGGCUAACUACGUGCCAGCCGCCGCGGUAAGAC
rnacentral:rRNA from 1 species